rnacentral:misc_RNA from 1 species
GAUGAAGAACGUAGCGAAAUGCGAUAAGUAAUGCGAAUUGCAGAUUUCAGUGAGUCAUCGAAUCUUUGAACGCACAUUGCGCCCGCCAGUAUUCUGGCGGGCAUGCCUGUUCGAGCGUCAUUUCAACCAUCAAGCCCCCGGGCUUGCGUUGGGGCCCUGCGGCUGCCGCAGGCCCCGAAAAGCAGUGGCGGGCUCGCUGUCACACCGAGCGCAGUAGCGAUUCUCGCUCCGGGCGUCGGCGGCGGGCACCGGCCGUGAAACCCCCCCACAACCACAAGGUUGACCUCGGAUCAGGUAGGAAUACCCGCUGAACUUAAGCAUAUCAAUAAGCUGAGGA